CCUACGGGUGGCAGCAGUGAGGAAUAUUGGUCAAUGGGCGGGAGCCUGAACCAGCCAAGCCGCGUGAAGGAAGAAGGCGCCAGGCGUCGUAAACUUCUUUUGUCGGGGAACAAACGGCGCCACGCGUGGCGUUGUGAGUGUACCCGAAGAAAAAGCAUCGGCUAACUCCGUGCCAGCAGCCGCGGUAAUACGGGGGAUGCGAGCGUUAUCCGGAUUUAUUGGGUUUAAAGGGUGCGUCGGCGGUCCGGAAAGUCAGCGGUAAAAGCCCGGGGCUCAGCCCCGGCGAGCCGUUGAAACUGGCGGACUAGAGACGGUGAGAAGUACGCGGAAUUCGCGGUGUAGCGGUGAAAUGCAUAGAUAUCGCGCAGAACACCGAUUGCGAAGGCAGCGCACCGGGGACGGACUGACGCUGAGGCACGAAAGCGUGGGUAUCGAACAGGAUUAGAUACCCUUGUAGUC
rnacentral:rRNA from 1 species